AAAAAAAAAGAGGAAGCAAGAAGAGCAAGGGUAGAGGAAGCAGGAACUCCGCAGUGAGCAGGGAGGUUAGGCAGCCCUGUACCAUGUACAGUGUCAUGUGGGAGGUAAGGACCCUUCCCCACAUGAUUGUUUCUGGGCAGAAUCCAGCAUGGUUAAUAGCAUGGGCUGGCACCCAAAGUGCUUGGCUUUGAGUCCUGGCUCAGCCAUUUACCUUGCAUAAGUAAUUUAGCCUCUCUGUGCCUCAGCUUCCCCAUCUGUAAAAUGGGGAUAACAGUAGCACCUGCCUUCUAGAGUUGUGAUGAAAUUAAAGUAGUAUGUGAAAAACAGUUAAAACAGAGCUUAGCACAUAUAAACCACCCAAUAAAUGUUAGCUGCUAUUAUUACCUCCUUUAAAUAGCUCCAAAUCAUAAUUACAGUGAACAUCAUUGUAUUAUUUUGUUCUCCAGUUGCAUCCCAUGAAACCACAAUAUAGGCAAAAAUUACCAAGUCCUUUUCCUAUUUUAGUGACUAAACAAACACUUUAUCAGACUCAAGAUGAAACACUUUGGGCUGACUUAACAGUGAUGACUAAAGUGAGGUCCAGGAUGCUAUUUUACUAGAAAUCUUACCUCUAGAAAUACCUUCUAAGGGAAUUUUCAGAUAUGCAAAUCCAAGGUACAAAGUGGAUCACUGCAGUAUUAUUUAUGGAGUGAAAAACUGGACCCGGCCUAAGUGUGGAACAAUCUGAGAAUGAUGAAAUGUGUUAUGGUGCAGAAAUAGGCUUUUGAAGAAUUUUUAAUGACUAGGAAAUGCUCAUGAAAUAAACCUAAGUAGAAAAGCAGGCUUCAAAACUGUUUACAAUUGGAUCACAUUUGGUAACUAUGUAAGCACAUUUGCAGAGAAAACAAAACCCUAGUGAAAUCUAGCAAGAUGUUCACAGUGGAGUUUCUGAGGGUGGAACUUAAGCAUGGUUUUUGUUUACAUUUUCUUUAUAUUUUUUAGUGCCUUCCAUGUUUUACACAGGAACACACACAAUUUUUAUAUUUGGGAAAAACAUUAAGUCAUAAAACCAAAACAUUUAAAGAAAGAAAGAAUCCUUCAGAAGACAUACAGUGGACUGAGAGGAACUAGGAAUUGAACCCAUGUUUCCUAAACUCUAGUUUUUUGUUUUUUUUUAAAGCCCAGAAUGCCACAUAAAAGAGACAGGUGUUGCUACUUUUUUAAAAUUAAUUAACUUUUUAAAAAAUUUUUUUUGAGGCAGAGUCUUGCUCUGUCGCCCAGGCUGGAGUGUAAUAGCGUGAUUUCGGCUCACUGCAACCUCCUCCUCCUGGGUUCAAGUGAUUCUCCUGCCUUGGACUCCUGAGUAGCUGGGAUUACAGGUGCGCACCACCACACCCGGCUAAUUUUUUGUAUCUUUAGUAGAGACGGGGUUUCUCCAUGUUGGCCAGGCUGGUCUCAAACUCCUGACCUUGUGAUCCACCCCCCUCAGCCUCCCAAAGUGCUGGGAUUACAGGCGUGAGCCACCAUGCCCGGCUGGUGUUGCUACUUUUCAACUUACUUUGCUCUGGGAAGAAAAGCUACGUGAAAUCUGUGGGUUAAAAAAUUGUAGACAGCCCAGCGCAGUGGCAUGUAACUGUAGUCCUUAGGAGGCUAAGGCAGGAGUAUUGCUUGAGCCCAGGAGUUUGAGGCUGUAGAGUGAUAUGAUUGAGUCUGUGUACAGCCACUGCACUCCAGCCUGGGCAAUACAGCCAAGACCCCGUCUCUAAAAUUAAAAAAAAAAAAAAAAAAGAUAAAUGAAAAGAUACAGGGCCGGGUGUGGGUGCAGUGGCUCACGCCUAUACUCCCAGCACUUUGGGAGGCUGAGGCAGGCAGAUCACGUGAGGUCAGGAGUUCAAGACCAGCCUGAUCAACAUGGAAAAAUGCUGUCUCUACCAAAAAUACAAAAUUAGCUGGGUGUGGUGGCAUGAGCCUGUAAUCCCAGCUACUUGGGAGGCUGAGGCAGAAGAAUCACUUGAACCCAAGAGGUGGAGGUUGCGGUGAGCCGAGAUUGCACCAUUGCACUCCAGCCUAGGUAACAAGAGCGAAAUUCCAUCUCAAAAAAAGAAAAGAAAAGAAAAGAUACAUAGAUAUGGAUGAGGACAGCUGGGGAAAAUAGCAGGGACUUCUUAAGGUGUAGGAUACAAUUUGAUAUUGAAUAAUCACAACCAUUUGUUUUUACAUGGGGGAGAAACAUGCUUGGCCCACAGAAGAAUGGACGAAAGCCAUCCAUCCACUCUUUUGGAAGAAGUUUUAAAAAAAAUUCCGUGGUUUAGCCAGGCGAGGUGGCUCACGCCUGUAAUCCCAGCACUUUGGGAGGCUGAGGUAGGCGGAUCACGAGGUCAGGAGUUGGAGACCAGCCUGGCCAACAUGGUGAAACCCCGUCUCUACUAAAAAUACAAAAAAAAAAAAAAAAAAAAAAUUAGCCAGGCAUAGUGGCGGGCACCUGUAAUCCCAGCUACUCAGGAGGCUGAGGCAGGAGAAUCGUUUGAACCCGGGAGGCAGAGGUUGCAGUGAGCCGAGAUUGCGCCAUUGCACUCCAGCUGGGCGACAGGGCGAGACUCUGUCUAGGAAAAAAAAAAUCUAUGGUUUAAAAAAAAAAAGAAAAAGAAAAGCUAACUAACACAAACAAACAGGACAAGAGACAUAUCUAAAUAGACAAGUAACAGAAUUCCCAAAUUCCCAUGACUCUGCACCCAGGACCUUGCUAAUAAACCUCCCAUUUGGAGUCCUACACCUCAAGGAAGAUUACUAAGAAGAACUCAACUUCGAAAGGGCUUGGAGUGCUCACUUUGGCAGCACGUACACUAAAACUGGAACAAUACAGAGGAGAUUAGCAUGCCCCCUGCGUAAGGAUGACAUGCAAAUCUGUGAAGCGUUCCAUUUUUUUUUUUUUUUUUUUUUUUUUUUGAGACAGAGUCUGGCUCUGUCACCCAGGCUGGAGUGCAGUGGCGCAACCUCGGCUCACUGCAAGCUCCGUCUCCCGGGUUCACGCCAUUCUCCUGACUCAGCCUC
rnacentral:lncRNA from 1 species